rnacentral:rRNA from 1 species
UACGGAGGAUGCAAGCGUUAUCCGGAUUCAUUGGGUUUAAAGGGUGCGUAGGCGGGCUAUUAAGUCAGUGGUGAAAUCCUGCAGCUUAACUGCAGAACUGCCGUUGAUACUGAUAGUCUUGAGUUUGGUUAAGGUAGGCGGAAUGUGUAAUGUAGCGGUGAAAUGCAUAGAUAUCACGAGGAACUCCGAUUGCGAAGGCAGCUUACUAAGCUACUACUGACGCUCAGGCACGAAGGCGUGGGGAUCAAACAGGA